rnacentral:rRNA from 1 species
AGUUUGAUUAUGGCUCAGGAUGAACGCUGGCGGCGUGCCUAACACAUGCAAGUCGAACGGAGAUAUAUCUGACGGAGACUUCGGUCAAUGAAAUAUAUAUCUUAGUGGCGGACGGGUGAGUAACGCGUGGGGAACCUGCCCUGUACUGGGGGAUAACAGUGAGAAAUCACUGCUAAAACCGCAUAAGCGCACACUGGCGCAUGCCAGAGUGUGAAAAACUCCGGUGGUACAGGAUGGACCCGCGUUGGAUUAGCCAGUUGGCGGGGUAACGGCCCACCAAAGCGACGAUCCAUAGCCGGCCUGAGAGGGUGAACGGCCACAUUGGGACUGAGACACGGCCCAGACUCCUACGGGAGGCAGCAGUGGGGAAUAUUGCACAAUGGGGGAAACCCUGAUGCAGCCGACGCCGCGUGAAGGAAGAAGUAUCUCGGUAUGUAAACUUCUAUCAGCAGGGAAGAUGAUGACGGUACCUGACUAAGAAGCCCCGGCUAACUACGUGCCAGCCGCAGC